UUAAAUCGUCUACACACACAAAUCAUAGACAGCAAAAGAUGCACGAAUCAAACGAUGCAAGUCAUCAGUCCAACUUUAUUGCUCAACUAGCAUCUAUAUUACUCUUCCCACGCACAAGGAAAGCUUAUCUAACAAUUUGAUGGUGCAGCAGCAACUGAAGUUUAGAAGACACGCACAUCUUCAUCAACAAAUAAACAAUUUAACGCAUGUAAUAUGUGAAAUUGCUUGUCAGGUACUCCCUCCGUCCGGAAAUACUUGUCC
rnacentral:lncRNA from 1 species